rnacentral:rRNA from 1 species
UACGUAGGGGGCAAGCGUUGUUCGGAAUUACUGGGCGUAAAGGGUCUGUAGGUGGCCAACUAAGUCAGACGUGAAAUCCCUCAGCUUAACUGGGGAACUGCGUCUGAUACUGGAUGGCUUGAGUGUGGGAGAGGAAUGCGGAAUUCCAGGUGUAGCGGUGAAAUGCGUAGAUAUCUGGAGGAACACCGGUGGCGAAGGCGGCAUUCUGGACCAUAACUGACACUGAGAGACGAAAGCCAGGGGAGCAAACGGG